rnacentral:lncRNA from 1 species
GGCGGGGGGACCUCUGGCAGGGGGGCCUCUGUGGCAGGGGGGUCACAGCCCAAGGAAGGGGAGCAGGCCCAGGGCUGAAAAUGGCGGGACAUCCAGUAUUGGGUUCACGUGCAUAAGACUGUCCCAGACAGCAGCACAAUCACGUUCAGCCAAGUGGAGUUUCCGACGCACUUGUGUGGCAGCCGCGUGAAUGUGAGCCGAUAUGCAGCUGGGAGGGGUUGUGGGCCUCCUGCGGUGAGGGGCUCCUGCCAGGAGCUCUGAGAAGCCUCCACAGAAUCAGCCGUCGGGCUCCUUCAGCAGCAGCUCCCCUUAUCUGUGCCAACGACCGGGGGCCCAACUCAAGGGUGCCAGCCCAUCUUCCGCCAAUACAGACUGUGGGAUUCUGAGAGGAGCCUGGGGUCCCCUGGGGUGGGGUGGUCAGGGUGAGCAGGUGGGCUCUGUGAGCCUGUUUCCCCAUGCCCUGACUCACCCCAAUCCCUGGGUGAGGACAGAGCUCCUGAAGGCCACUGAAGGAGGUGCAGCACACUCCACCUGGGUGGCCUUCCGCAGCUCAGCCCUCUUCCUGCCGGCAGGAAGCCUCUGCCUGUGCUCCUUAAGUUAGCCAUCCUCACCCCCCCGGGCAGCUCUGAGACUGAGCCAGGGCCACCAGCAGCACCCAGACCUCCACCCUUCUCAGACCGAGGCCCCACCACCCCAGGCCGAGGAGGCAAGGAGGGAAGACCAAAGUCUAGAGGACUGUCUUGGUGGCCCUGGGCGAGUCUUGAACUUUGGUGCCAUCAUCUGCAAAAGGGAGGAAAGAAUGCCUGCCUGCGUGGUGCAGCUACGUGGAUACGCAGUGAAGACCCGCACGGUGGGACGCCUGGCACUUAACAAUGGUAGCAUCGUUUUCAGUGCCCAGGAAGAAGGCAGCUGGGACAGGGAAAGGGCCACCACACCACACCCAAGCCCAUACAACAGGAGAGCCACUUUCAGCAGCUCUGAGCAGGACAGACUUGUGGCCAAGUCAAGAAAGUAAGGUCUGGUCCCAGCGCGGUGGCUCAUGCCUGUAAUCCCAGUGCUUUGGGAGGCCGAAGGGGGGGCGGGGUGGAUCACUUGAGGUCAGGGGUUUGAGACCAGCCUGACCAACAUGGUGAAACCUCAACUCUACUAAAAAUACAAAAAAAAGGGCCGGGCGCAGUGGCUCACGCCUGUAAUCCCAGCACUUUGGGAGACUGAGGCGGGCGGAUCACAAGGUCAGGAGAUCGAGACCAACCUGGCUAACACAGUGAAACCCCAUCUCUACUAAAAAUACGAAAAAAAAAAUUAGCUGGGCGUGGUGGCGGGUACCUAGUCCCAGCUACUUGGGAGGCUGAGGCAGGAGAAUGGCAUGAACCCGGGAGGUGGAGCUUGCAGUGAGCCGAGAUUGUGCCACUGCACUCCAGCCUGGGCGACAGAGCAAGACUCCGUCUCAAAAAAAAAAAAAAAAAAAAAAAGUAAGGUCUGUAUCUGCUGACCCCACCCUUCUCCGAAGCCCUCUCCGAGCAAAGCCUUAAGAAACUCUUCUCUCGUUCACUUUUCUUUUGUGGCUUUCACGUUUUGGUAAGACUUGGCCAAAUAGCUGCUCGAGAUAAUCACUGGUGGACAGGUUUCUGCUGAGUGAGGUUUCUGCUGAGUGGGGCGACUCAAGGCAUGGUCACGUAGGCGGCACCUGUACACCGCAUCCUCAUACAGCUGCGUGACCGUGCCUCUGACUGUGUGCGUGUGUGUUUAUCUAAGUGUGAGAUGCAUCCGGGCAUGUCAGGGUGUGUACAUGUUCGGAAGACUGUGUAGAUUUCUUGUGUGCCGCUCUCUGAAUGGAGGAGAGGGGAAGCGUCUUACCUCGCUGAAUUCCUUUCCAUUGCUGGAAAGAACACCUGGGCAGGAGCGGCCCCAAGACCCCGCCCAGGCCCUCGGAAGGGAGCCUGAAGGGUUAAUCCGUACCCUGUAUUAACCAGGGUCAACCCAGCGGCUGACCCGCCGCUUCCCUGCUCCUUUGCCGUUUCUAGCACCUGGCUUACUUCCUGGCACACAGUGAGCACUCAAUAAAUGUAUGCUGAGAAUGACUGCAAGCG